rnacentral:rRNA from 1 species
GACGAACUGUGCAAACGUUAUUCGGAAUCACUGGGCUUGAAGAGUGCGUAGGCGGUUUUGUAAGUCGGGCGUGAAAUCCCACGGCUCAACCGUGGAAGUGCACCCGAAACUGCGUAGCUAGAGUCCUGGAGAGGAAGGUGGAAUGCUUGGUGUAGAGGUGAAAUUCGUAGAUAUCAAGCGGAACACCGGUGGCGAAGGCGGCCUUCUGGACAGUGACUGACGCUGAGACGCGAAAGCGUGGGGAGCAAACAGG